rnacentral:pre_miRNA from 1 species
UGAUUCGUUAAUAUUGGUUGUGACGUGAUGACUUUUUCACCUCCAUAUCACAGCCAUUUUGACGAGUUCAG